rnacentral:rRNA from 1 species
CGGUUGAUCCUGCCGGACCCUACUGCUAUCGGGGUGGGACUAAGACAUGCGAGUCGAGCGUCUCAAAGCUAUGUUGAGACGCGGCAUACGGCUCAGUAACACGUGGUUAACCUACCCUCAGGACGGGGACAAACCCGGGAAACUGGGGCUAAUACCCGAUAGGUGAGGAGGCCUGGAAUGGUUCUUCACCCAAAGGACGUUGGAAACAUGCUUCCAACGUCGCCUGGGGAUGGGGCCGCGUCCGAUCAGGUUGUUGGUGAGGUAAUGGCUCACCAAGCCUAUAACCGGUACGGGCCGUGAGAGCGGUAGCCUGGAGAUGGGCACUGAGACAAGGGCCCAGGCCCUACGGGGCGCAGCAGUCGCGAAAACUCCGCAAUGCACGAAAGUGUGACGGGGCUACCCCGAGUGCCGUCCGCUGAGGAUGGCUUUUCCCCGGUGUAAUGAGCCGGGGGAAUAAGGAGAGGGCAAGUCUGGUGUCAGCCGCCGCGGUAAUACCAGCUCUCCGAGUGGUAGGGAUGAUUAUUGGGCUUAAAGCGUCCGUAGCCGGCUUAGCAAGUCUCCUGUUAAAUUCAGCGACCUAAUCGUUGAGCCGCGGGAGAUACUGCUAGGCUAGGAGGCGGGAGAGGCCGACGGUAUUCUCGGGGUAGGGGUGAAAUCCUAUAAUCCCGGGAGGACCACCAGUGGCGAAGGCUGUCGGCUAGAACGCGCUCGACGGUGAGGGACGAAAGCUGGGGGAGCGAACCGGAUUAGAUACCCGGGUAGUCCCAGCUGUAAACGAUGCGGGCUAGGUGUUGGGGUGGCUACGAGCCACUUCAGUGCCGCAGGGAAGCCAUUAAGCCCGCCGCCUGGGGAGUACGGCCGCAAGGCUGAAACUUAGAGGAAUUGGCGGGGGAGCAC